rnacentral:lncRNA from 1 species
GGCGAUAAGUGAAUAUUAAGGGAUGGAUAGAGGAUGAGAGAUCCUCUGGUUAAUCAUGAAGCUUGAACGAACCUGCCCCAAGUGGCACAACUAGGUAGCAUGUGAGAUUGAUUGAUCCGUGUACAGCGAGAACUCUAAGGCUGUUUAGGAGAUUUUGCCGCAUCAAUGCGUUGAUGCAGUAGCAGAAGUAUCAUGUGGACGUUGAACUACUUCAUCAAGUGCUACCAUGCAACCACUAGCAACGUACUCCGUACUCCUCUAACAAAUCUGAACAGAUAUAAACUGAUAAUGCAUUCGAACGCAUCAAAAGGACAAAUUUUCUAUUCAACUCUAGACUCUACAAAUUAAAUAGUUCUGAAUCUGAUUAGUUGUUGGGGGAACUAACCUGAGGACAAGGUCGAUUAGGUAUCCAUCUGAUGAUGAGUUGUUUUCAGUUGUUAGAAAAAAGAAGACACCGGCCGAGACGUUGAACAGAUGAGGAAUCAUAGGCCAAAACGUACGGCACCAAAGAUUAGAGGAUGCACGUCCACGGUUGGGAUAUUUUUUGACAUUCAUGCAUGCAUCUUGACAAACGGACAACAAGACAUGGUUACGUUACGCAAAUUGAAAGGGAAAACUGUGACCAGAUGUAAGUAGACAGACAGCAUCCAUGAUUCUCUAAUCCUGUCUGUUUAUCAACUCCGUGUUUUUUUCUUUUUCUUUCUUGAGAGCGUAGUCACUUUAUUUUUCAGGUUUAUCA